AAUAAUAGUGCAUGGAAUAAUUGAACAAGAUUCUGUUUCUGUUCUGUUGGUAUUUGGAAUACGGGAUAAUGAUUAAGAGGGACAGACGGGGGCAUUCGUAUUACGCCGCUAGAGGUGAAAUUCUUGGACCGUCGCAAGACGAACUGCUGCAAAAGCAUUUGCAAAGAAUGUUUUCAUU
rnacentral:rRNA from 1 species